rnacentral:rRNA from 1 species
AACGAACGCUGGCGGCAGGCUUAACACAUGCAAGUCGAACGCAUCGCAAGAUGAGUGGCCGACGGGUGAGUAACGCGUGGGAACAUACCCUUUUCUACGGAAUAGCUCUGGGAAACUGGAAUUAAUACCGUAUACGCCCUACGGGGGAAAGAUUUAUCGGGGAAGGAUUGGCCCGCGUUGGAUUAGCUAGUCGGUGGGGUAAAGGCCUACCAAGGCGACGAUCCAUAGCUGGUAUGAGAGGAUGAUCAGCCACAUUGGGACUGAGACACGGCCCAAACUCCUACGGGAGGCAGCAGUGGGGAAUAUUGGACAAUGGGCGCAAGCCUGAUCCAGCCAUGCUGCGUGAGUGAUGAAGGCCUUAGGGUUGUAGAGCUCUUUCACCGAUGAAGAUAAUGACGGUAGUCGGAGAAGAAGCCCCGGCUAACUUCGUGCCAGCAGCCGCAGUAAGAC